rnacentral:rRNA from 1 species
AAAACCUGCAUGUCUAGUAUAAGCACUCUUUUACUGUGAAACUGCGAAUGGCUCAUUAAAUCAGUUAUCGUUUAUUUGAUAGUACCCUACUACAUGGAUACCUGUGGUAAUUCUAGAGCUAAUACAUGCGCAAAACCCCGACUUCGGAAGGGGUGUAUUUAUUAGAUAAAAAACCAAUGCCCUUCGGGGCUCCUUGGUGAUUCAUAAUAACUUCACGAAUCGCAUGGCCUUGCGCCGGCGAUGGUUCAUUCAAAUUUCUGCCCUAUCAACUUUCGAUGGUAGGAUAGUGGCCUACCAUGGUGGCAACGGGUAACGGGGAAUUAGGGUUCGAUUCCGGAGAGGGAGCCUGAGAAACGGCUACCACAUCCAAGGAAGGCAGCAGGCGCGCAAAUUACCCAAUCCCGAUACGGGGAGGUAGUGACAAUAAAUACUGAUACAGGGCUCUUUUGGGUCUUGUAAUUGGAAUGAGAACAAUCUAAAUCCCUUAACGAGGAACAAUUGGAGGGCAAGUCUGGUGCCAGCAGCCGCGGUAAUUCCAGCUCCAAUAGCGUAUAUUAAAGUUGUUGCAGUUAAAAAGCUCGUAGUUGAACCUUGGGCCCGUCCUGCCGGUCCGCCUCACCGCGAGUACUGGUCCGGAUGGGCCUUUCUUUCUGGGGAAUCCCAUGGCCUUCACUGGCUGUGGCGGGGAACCAGGACUUUUACUGUGAAAAAAUUAGAGUGUUCAAAGCAGGCCGUUGCUCGGAUACAUUAGCAUGGAAUAAUAGAAUAGGACGUGCGGUUCUAUUUUGUUGGUUUCUAGGACCGCCGUAAUGAUUAAUAGGGAUAGUCGGGGGCGUCAGUAUUCAGCUGUCAGAGGUGAAAUUCUUGGAUUUGCUGAAGACUAACUACUGC